AAUACCUAACCGGCGAACGGGUGCGUAACACGUGAGCGACCUGCCGAUCUGCGGGGGAUAGCCGGCCCAACGGCCGGGUAAUACCGCAUACGUUCCUCGAGGGGCAUCCCUUGAGGAGGAAACCUCCGGGGCGGAUCGAGGGGCUCGCGGCCUAUCAGCUAGUUGGUGGGGUAACGGCCCACCAAGGCGACGACGGGUAGCUGGUCUGAGAGGAUGGCCAGCCACAUUGGGACUGAGAGACGGCCCAGACUCCUACGGGAGGCAGCAGUGGGGAAUAUUGCGCAAUGGCCGAAAGGCUGACGCAGCGACGCCGCGUGGGGGAUGAAGCAUUUCGGUGUGUAAACCCCUGUUGCCCGGGACGAACAGCCCUUUUCGAGGGGCCUGACGGUACCGGGUGAGGAAGCACCGGCUAACUCUGUGCCAGCAGCCGCGGUAAUACAGAGGGUGCGAGCGUUGUCCGGAAUCACUGGGCGUAAAGGGCGCGUAGGUGGUCUGGUAAGCGUGCGGUGAAAUCGCGGGGCUCAACCCCGCGCCGGCCGUGCGAACUGCUGGACUGGAGCACUGUAGAGGCGGGUGGAAUUCCGGGUGUAGCGGUGGAAUGCGUAGAGAUCCGGAAGAACACCGGUGGCGAAGGCGGCCCGCUGGGCAGUGGCUGACACUGAGGCGCGACAGCGUGGGGAGCAAACAGGAUUAGAUACCCUGGUAGUCCACGCCGUAAACGAUGGGCACUAGGUGCUUGGGGGAGCGACCCUCCGAGUGCCGGCGCUAACGCAUUAAGUGCCCCGCCUGGGGAGUAC
rnacentral:rRNA from 1 species